AAAUAAGUUGACCCUUCCUCUUUGCGGCAACCACUCAAAUACUGGAAUACUGCUGUGAAGUUUCCAAAAGUUGCCCUAAUUAAUUCAUGAGCCAUGAGCCAAACUUCAAAAGAAAUACAGUCAUUUAUUAGGAGCACCAUUUCAGCAAUAUUCGGAUGCAGUUAGAACUAAUCCCACGUAGAUUUACGUUCCCCUAUGACCCUGUCUCUCCCCUCCUCUCUGGCCAUGUCAUAAAUCACAUUCUCCAAUUAACCACUUUGGCUGGCUGUGAAAUCCAACACCCUCCUUCUGAUUGCGGUCAGGAAGAAUGUAUGGAAUGCACUUCAGUUCUCCCUCCCUCCUGCUCAUGGCAACUUGACAGCUUUGCAAGUUGACACAUGGCCUGUAUUCCUUACAGAUGCAAAAAUCCCUCUUUGUUUGCAACGCUCCCCUAUUCUGAAAUGGAAGACUAAGCCCAAGUUGCUGUUGGAGACUGGACUGUCUGCACCCUUGGAUUCUCUAGGCCCUCCCCAAGAACAGAAUGUAGUUGCCUCCGACUCAAGAGCAGAAACAGAAGAAGAGCUGCCCGAAGCUAUAGAACAAACUCUAAAGAACGCACAAAAUACAGCGUUAGACCAAAGAACUGCUGUGCCCCUCUCCAAGUCUCCAAUACAGGAGCAUUGAAUGAUUCUGCAUGAUGGCCGCUCCAUUGAAGGGAGGACAGAGUGAAGGCUUACGGUUUGAAGCAACAGCCGAGCGGGCGAGGGUCCGAGUUCUUUGGUACAAGGAUGAACAAGGGACCGGCCCUCCCAUCGCUCCUUGGCUGUAAGAACUGGGAUUUCCAGUGAUGGAUAAUGGCAUCUAAUCUCCUGCACGUCUUUCUGGAUCGCCUCGUUUCAUCUUUUCAUCCUUGUACACGCUCAUCCAAGUGCCCAGUAUUCUAACGGUUUGUGUGAGAAAAAGCCAAAAUCUCAAAGUCUGCAGGAAACUGGUCUUUUCCAGCGGAAGUUGUACAGUUGGUACCAGAUGUGACAAAUGUUAUAGUGCCAGAAACUGAGAACCACCAGCAGGCGGGAUGGGGGGGUUAUUCUACAUACACUAAACUUGCUUGCCUUGUAUUGUAUGUUUUGGAAGUUUGAGACUAGGCUAGCUUGUGGUUUGUAGGAGAGUUUAAAAGCAGGCACUCAGUUAAACCAGGUACAUGUCUCUCGUAACAAACUUACUCCGCUGCUAUCCCAUACCAUAUUUGUCCUUAAGGUCUUCUUUCCUUCUGUCCACAUCCUUUUCUAGUCUAGGAAAAAUACUCUCAUGCUAGAACAAAAUAUUUGCCGGCACCGACGAAAGGCUUGGCGUGAAGAAGGUGGGAGGGACACUGAGCAUCGUAGCAGCUUUCAGCCAGGCUAACCCAAACGAGGUCGCAAGUGCCUCCUGUCCACGAUUAAGUCUUCGAAAUUGCCAUUGUUCCCAUCUCGUUUAUUCUGGUGUUAUCAGGCCUCUCCUCUCAGCUCCCUUUUAACAUUGCUACAAGAUUGAGCAGUGCUUUGCUGUGGCAAGAGAAGAUGGGAGGAAUGGAGAAGACUUUUCAUCUAUCGUGGGAAGAUGCGAGGGCAUCACACCAAGCUUGGCAUUUCUGUUCAAACUCAUUGUGAAGACGCUUAGCCCGUAGCCUUGUCUCACGAAUCAGGAUUUGCAGCCUUCCCCUUAAAGCAAACACCUUACCCUCCAAUCCAUCCAUUGGCUUUUAAGGAGGCUCUAGGAAAUAGUUAGUUUUUACAAUAUGAAUCGCUUAACUUGUUAACGGCUCCUUACAUCCGAAGCACUACUAGCACAUAGACGAAAGGGUAAGUACAUAUUUCUCCACACUGAUAGCCUGCAACUAAAACACUGCGUUAAAUAUAGUUAUGCAGCUGUUUCGUAGAGUAUUCGGUACUUUCACCACUAGCCUUUUUUCAAGACACUGGAAGGAAAAAAUAUGUGGGUGCUCGGCUAAUCUGUGUGAUAUUCUCCCAGAGGACUGGAAAGGUUAUACAGCUUUCAGUUGAGAGCCAACGUGGAAAUCCCAUCCUCUGAAGGCAUUCUUUUAGGAAGACUGAAAAAAAGCUUUUGCUUCCGGCUAUCGGUGAAUUUGGAUUGAGACAAGGAAGAAUUAUGAACCAACCACACCAGUUGAGAUAAUGGAGGAUAUACGCAGAUGCAGAGUUCGCACGACAGUGUCUACUAGCGCAACGCCACAUAUACACAAACCUGUUUCCACACAGAUAACAUUUUGGCAUAAUUUCCAAAUACCAAUCAUCCUCAACCACAAGAGACGCUCAGUGGGGGCUGAGCUCCUUGUAACUGUACUUGGGUAUCUGCCAUCUAUUACCAGAUGAUUAUUGCAUGCAUCUUUAAAAAAAAUAUUCUAGCACAAACAGCCAACUUAUUUACAUUAAGGUCCUUAUUUUAAAGCAAAGAACCACAGAAUUUUAUUUUAACUUUCAAACUAUGUUUGAGUGACUGUGCUCGAAUUUGGAAAAUUGGCACACAAGGUAUAUUUUUUAUCAAGAGCUGUGCUGUUGUAUUUUUCCUAAUUUGUUUUAAUUUUCAAAACAUUUUAUCAAGCAUGUAAGCUAUAUGAAGUAUUUUGUAAUUAAAUGAAAGGAGGAGAUGACAAAAAUAAUUAAAAAUAAGCAUUUUAAUUCA